UGUUUAAAAAUCAACACAACGUCGUUUUGGUAAAAAUUGUCUAGAAGGUAAAAAUUCUCUUCAAUGCUGUGAAGUGAUGGCGCUAGCAUUAUCAACACGACGUCGUAAAGACAACUUAUCACCGGCGACAACGAAAAAUUACCGAAAUAUUUCAAUAGAUGACCAACACCUACAUAGCAAUCUCAGUUGAUUUCCGUUGAUCAUUUCGCUUCUCAUCUCUCUGUGUAUGAACUCCCGCCAUUAAUCCAUCCUUCGGGGUCUAAGCCCUAACCAUCAAUCAUCUCUCUCCCUAAUCUCCAUUUUAAAAGUCACGGAACAUCUCUCUCAAAAUUUGGUCAUCAUCUUCGUCAAAAGAUCACCGUUACUUUCGCGCCAUGAUGAAUCAGUAACCGCUCGAUCAGAUCAAAUCUCGAGAACUCUUUUCAUUCUCGUGCAAUGUCUUGGGGAUUAGGCUGGAAACGACCGUCGGAGAUCUUCCGUUUAACGCUUAAUUAUGGCACUGAGGAAUCCGAGGAAGAUCUUAAUCGUAUGUCAACAUCGACGUCAUCGGGUUCAUUAUCUUCAUCUUCUCCGUCGUCACCUUCGUCUCCGCCUCGAGAUCAAGAGCUUGGAUUUCGGAUUGAUUUGGACUGGACGGCUGCGGAUGACGAGGACCAGGUGGCUUUGAGGUUGCAGUCGCAGUUGAUGGUGGCGCUGCCUUUGCCACAAGAUUGUGUGACAGUGGAUUUGAGGAGUAGGGAUGAGGAGAUGGGGGAGGAAGGGAAUGUGGGUGUGGAGAUGAAGGUGGUCAAGAGGAGGGAGCCAUUGCGAGGGAUGACGAUGAGCAAGGCUGGGUCCGGACAGCAGAGCGAUGGGGUUGGGGUUUUGACAAGGUUAUUGAGGUCCAACUUGGCUACUGGUGGUGGUGGAGUCGGGGAUGGUUCUGGGUUGGGUUGUAGCGAGCAUUGGCGGAGCGUCACCUGGCUCAGCCUUUGUAGUUGUGGUUUAUCGGUAAGGAUAUUAUUUUAGUUUUUUCUCCAUUUUAUGCCAGUUUGGUUAAUGUGGGAUGUGAAUUGGCCUGCAAUAUAUAGAUUUUCUGCAAUUUUAUGUUUAGUUCAUGAUUAUUGGAAGUGACCUACAUAAUCGGGAAGGCUAAAAAAUACAAAACUUUUACUCAGUUGAACCCCAAAGUAUUGUUCUGCGCUGUGUAUAGAAUCAAAUUAGCAGUAUGGCUACUCUCAUGCUUCGGAUGUAAAAGCUGGUAUUUAUUGAGAGGCAUAAUCGUGUGGUGCUUGAAUUGUGCUGAUUUUAUUAAUAGGUAUUACCAGCUGAAUUAAUCGGAUUGCCACUCCUUGAGAAGCUUUUUCUUGAUAACAAUAGGCUUUCAGUGUUGCCACCAGAGCUUGGUGAACUGAAAAAUUUGAAAGUUCUCAGCGUUGAUUACAACACACUGGUUUCUGUUCCUGGUAAGAAUUGGGUUUAAUUGUAUAUAUAAAGCAGAGGUUCCUUCAUGAAUGGGCUAUAUAUGAACUUUUGCAAUUUAUUGAGUUCUAUCAUCUUGGUUAAAAUUUUUAACAGUGGAACUGAGGCAGUGUGUUGGACUCGUAGAAUUGUCUCUCGAACACAAUAAGCUUGUUCGACCUCUUCUCGAUUUCAGGUCAUUUUAUCAACAAAUCAACAUACUUUAUUACCAUUUUUUGUUUUGAUAAAGCUGUAAACACUAGAAUGUUCUUCGGGUCUAUUGUUUAUCUCCAGUUGAAUGGCAGGGCUAUGGCUGAGAUACAAAUUCUUAGGCUAUUUGGUAAUCCUCUGGAGUUCCUUCCUGAAAUUCUUCCGCUGCACAAACUUCGCCACUUUUCUCUCGCUAAUGUCAGGAUUGUAGCUGAUGAGAACUUAAGAUCAGUGAAUGUACAAAUAGAGGUAGUAAUCAUACAACAGUUUCAUAAGCUGGGAGAUUUGGUUGCUUGAUUUACUUUUCGUUAUUUGGCCAUUUUAGAUGGAGAACAGUUCUUAUUUUGGUGCAUCAAGACACAAGCUGAGUGCCUUCUUCUCUCUUUUAUUUCGUUUUUCUUCUUGUCAUCACCCGUUGCUGGCAUCAGCACUGGCAAAGAUAAUGCAAGAUCAAGGAAACCGUGCUGUGGUUGGCAAAGAUGAGAAUGCAGUGCGGCAACUAAUUAGCAUGAUAAGUAGCGAUAACCAGCAUGUGGUUGAACAAGCAUGCUCUGCCCUAUCAACUCUUGCUGGAGACGUUUCUGUUGCAAUACAGUUGAUGAAAUGUGACAUAAUGCAACCCAUUGAAACAGUGCUGAAAUCAGUUGCACAUGAAGAAGUAAUUUCUGUGUUACAAGUUGUGGCCACCUUGGGCUUUACAUCUGAUACUGUAGCUCAGAAGAUUUUGACCAAGGAUUUGUUGAAAUCAUUAAAAUUGUUAUGUGCGCAUAAAAACCCAGAGGUGCAAAGGUUAGCUUUGUUGGCAGUUGGAAAUUUGGCCUUCUGCUUGGAGAAUCGCCGCAUCUUGGUCACCUCUGAAAGUCUACGGGACCUUCUGUUGCGGUUGACUGUUACAUCUGAACCACGUGUAAAUAAAGCAGCUGCUCGCGCUUUGGCAAUUCUUGGAGAAAAUGAAAAUUUGCGGCGUGCCAUAAGAGGAAGACAAGUUGCAAAGCAAGGUCUGCGCAUACUUUCAAUGGAUGGAGGUGGAAUGAAAGGCCUGGCAACUGUGCAGAUCCUUAAAGCAAUUGAGAAGGGAACUGGAAAACGUAUACAUGAAUUGUUUGACCUUAUAUGUGGCACAUCAACGGGUGGAAUGCUGGCUGUUGCUCUUGGUAUCAAGCUGAUGACCUUGGGUCAGUGUGAAGAAAUAUAUAAAAAUCUUGGAAAACUUGUCUUUGCUGAACCUACACCAAAGGACAAUGAAGCUGCAAGUUGGCGAGAGAAGUUGGAUCAGCUUUAUAAAAGUUCAUCACAAAGUUUUAGAGUUGUGGUACAUGGAUCUAAAUAUGCCAAAGACAGAACGCCAUAACACAUUGUCUUGCAGCACAGUGCCGAUCAGUUUGAGAGGUUGUUAAAGGAAAUGUGCGUGGAUGAGGAUGGAAACCUGUUAAUAGAAUCAGCAGUAAAAAACGUACCCAAAGUUUUUGUUGUAUCAACUUUGGUUAAUGUUAUGCCGGCUCAACCAUUCAUAUUUCGAAAUUAUCAGUAUCCUGCUGGAACGCCUGAAGUGCCUUUUGCAAUUUCAGAAAGUUCAGGUGUCACGGUGUUAGGAUCACCAACAACUGGAGCUCAGGUUGGCUAUAAACGCAGUGCUUUUAUUGGGAGCUGCAAGCAUCAUGUUUGGCAAGCUAUAAGGGCAUCAUCUGCUGCUCCAUAUUAUCUUGAUGAUUUUUCAGAUGAUAUAUACCGCUGGCAAGAUGGUGCUAUCGUGGCAAAUAAUCCUACCAUCUUUGCCAUAAGGGAAGCUCAACUUCUGUGGCCUGACACAAAAAUUGACUGCUUGGUUUCAAUUGGCUGUGGUUCUGUGCCAACGAAGGUGAGGAAAGGUGGUUGGCGUUAUCUGGACACUGGACAAGUGUUGAUUGAGAGUGCAUGUUCAGUGGACCGAGUGGAGGAAGCUUUGAGCACACUCCUACCCAUGCUUCCUGAAAUACAAUAUUUUCGUUUUAAUCCAGUUGAUGAACGUUGUGAUAUGGAGCUGGAUGAGACUGAUCCAGCAGUCUGGCUGAAGUUGGAAGCUGCAGUUGAGGAAUAUAUCCAGACUAAUUCAGAAGCCUUUAAGAAUGUUUGUGAGAGACUACUUAUGCCCUAUAAGCAUGAUGAUAAAUUAUUAGAGAAUUUGAAAAAUCAGCAAUUCCCAAAGGCAAAGAUAUUACAUACCGAUGAGAAUGGUCCGUCAUUGGGUUGGAGGCGUAAUGUGCUACUUGUUGAAGCUUUGCAUCGUCCAGAUUCAGGAAGAGUUAUGCAUCAUGCUCGAGCACUUGAAUCUUUUUGUGGCCGUAAUGGAAUUAGAUUAUCUCUUAUGCUCGGGACAUCUGGAAUUGGAAAGACAAUGCCAGCAACAGCAUUCCCAUCACCAUUUACUUCACCUCUGAUUACUGGAAGCUUCCCCUCUAGUCCACUUCUAUACAGUCCUGAUUUUGGCCCCCAAAAGGUUGGGCGAAUUGACAUGGUUCCGCCUUUAAGCUUGGAUGGAUUUCAAUCUGGAAAGAAUGCUUCAUCACCCCCAAUGUCACCUUCAGGACGCAGACAGUUAUCGUUACCUGUUCGGUCAUUGCAUGAAAAGUUACAGAGUACUCCACAAGUAGGAAUUAUACAUUUGGCCCUUCAAAAUGACUCCUUUGGUUCAAUAUUAAGUUGGCAGAAUGAUGUAUUUGUUGUUGCCGAACCUGGAGAUCUUGCAGAUAAGUUUCUCCAAAGUGUCAAAUUUAGCCUUUUAUCUAUGAUGCGUGGCUGCCGUAGGAAGGUCACAUCAUUCCUUGCGAAUAUUUCAACAGUUGCUGAUCUGGUUCGAUAUAGACCAUACUUCCAAGUUGGAAAUGUUGUCCAUCGUUAUAUAGGACGACAGACACAGGUUAUGGAGGAUGACCAAGAAAUUGGGGCAUAUAUGUUUCGUAGAACAGUUCCUUCUAUGCACUUAACUCCUGAUGAUGUUCGCUGGAUGGUUGGAGCUUGGAGGGACAGGAUAAUAAUAUGCACAGGGACGUAUGGACCUACUCCAACUUUAAUCAAGGCCUUUCUGGAUUCUGGUGCAAAAGCUGUUAUAUGCCCUUCUGCAGAACCCCCAGAAAUUCCAGUUACAUCAGCCCAUGUGUCAGGGGAGUUCAAUGUUCUGGAGAAUGGGAGGUUUGAGAUUGGAGAGGAAGAGGCAGAGGAUGAAGAGGCAGAGCCUGUCAGUCCAACAAGUGAUUGGGAAGAUAGUGACCCUGAAAAGAAUGGGGAGCAUUCGAUGGGUUUUUGGGACGAUGAAGAAGAGGAAUUAUCACGGUUUGUCAGUCAGUUGUAUGAUAAAUUGUUUCGAGAAGGGGCAAGGGUAGAUGUGGCUCUACAAAAUGCUCUCACUUCGCAUCGGAGGAUGAGGUAUUCUUGCCAUCUUCCCAGUAUACAGUAACUAGUUGAAUAUUUAUACAUACAUGAAAAUGAAAAUCAAAGAUUAGUUAAAAGAAAAAAUAAAAAAAAGGAUAAAUGAGAAUAUAAGAUGAGUUCAUGAAUAAUUAGAGCGACUACGAGAGAAUAUUUCCAAUUUUGAGGCUCAAGUAAAACAUUUAUGUUCUUUGUGAUUCAUUGCAGAACACAAGUAAAUAGCAUGUGCCAUGACCUUGUUCUUAAUGUUACAGAUCUGCUAUUUAUUUUUCAUUUAACUUGGGUACUUUUUUAUUUUCCUUUUUGAACUUGUACUUUUUAUGUCAUUUAGUAAAUGAUGUGAUUGUUUGGUUAGCAAAACAUUACUGGAUAAGCAAAUGUAAUUACAAACCUUGGAUUGGAUGUGUUAUUUGAUUUAUACAAUCAAUUAAUGAAAAUUAAAUUUAAUACUAA
rnacentral:misc_RNA from 1 species